rnacentral:rRNA from 1 species
AUGAACGCUGACAGAAUGCUUAACACCUGCAAGUCGAUGGGGAAGUGGUGCUUGCACCAUGGUAACCAUGGCGGACGGGUGAGUAACGCGUAAGGAACUUGCCUGCGGGACUGGGAUAACAGCAGGAAACUGCUGAUAAUACCGGAUAAGGUCAUUAAGCUGCAUAGCUUAGUGAUGAAAGGAGACGCCUGCGGAGAGCCUUGCGUCCUAUUAGCUAGUUGGAGGGGUAACGGCCCACCAAGGCGAAGAUAGGUAGCCGGCCUGAGAGGGUGGACGGCCACAAGGGGACUGAGAUACGGCCCUUACUCCUACGGGAGGCAGCAGUGGGGAAUAUUGGACAAUGGGGGCAACCCUGAUCCAGCAAUUCUGUGUGCACGAAGACGGUUUUCGGAUUGUAAAGUGCUUUCAGCAGGGAAGAAGGAAGUGACGGUACCUGCAGAAGAAGCGACGGCUAAAUACGUG